UUCGUUCACUCCCGCCAUUAACCUCCUGAGAGCGUAGUAGUUUCAGUUUGAAACUAAUCCAUCAAAACAAAGCUUAGUUUGAUUUCGAUUAUAUUUAGCUAGGUUUAUGUUUUCUGUUACUCGUCUUGAUCGAUUUGACCUAAAUUCUGAAUGACGAUGAAGAAGAUGGACCGUAGUGAUUCUUUUUAUGCUAAAUUUCAUGCUUUUCCUUCUUCUUUGAUGAGUUAAGCGAUUAUAUGUUCUAUUUUAACUUAUGAAUGAAAUGAAAGCUAGUCCUGCUAUAUGAAAUUUGGGAAAGAAAAAUUAGGGAUUUUGUGGAAGUUCGAUAUCUAAACAAACCCUUCUUUCACUCUUUCCUCGAUUUAUCUUUCUCUUGAGAUUUUUCAUCACCCAAACUUUUUCUUCCCUGCCAGUGAUUUUAGAUUGAAUUAGGGUUUUGGAUCCGUAUGUCCUCUCGAUUUUUCUUCUUUCUCUCGAUUAAAAUUCGGAAUUGAGUUUAGAACUGGGGUUUUCUUGUUGGUGGUGUUAUUUUGCGUAGAUUCGAAAUUGGAUCUUGUUAAUUAGGGAUUAAAAUUUGUGGUUGUACUGAACUAGAACUGAUAUUUCCUUACUUAUCGUAGUUUUAGAUUGCAUCCUGGCAGUCAGAUGAAAGGCCACAAAGGAACAGAUGGAGUCGUAUAUAUUAGUGCAGUUGAAAAAGAAUGUGAGUAUAUAUAGGGGCUAGAAAUAAAUUGUAGUUCUUGGUAUUGUUCUUUAGUUCUAUUACUUCUCUAUUUUAUUUGGAUACUGGAAGGAACGGCUCUGCAUGACUUCCCUUCUGAACUUUCCUGGAAAAGAAGAGAGAAAAAUUGUCCAACGAUAAGAGUCAUGCAUUUUAUAACUCGAACAAGUUCUUUUUGAGAUGAAGAAAUAGCAAGCUGCAACCAUCGCUGGAGCACGUUACUCCUCGUGGUUUGAAAAAGAAGUAUGAUGUAAAAGCUACGAUAAAGUCUGAAAAGACAAUUAGAGAAGCUGGGCCCUCGAGGACGCAACAAGGUGCAGAUGGUGUUCCAGAAACCGAUGGGCAAAAGAGGAGCUUGUAGAAUUUUGACUCAUCGGAUUUGAUAGUGGACGGAACCAUCACAUGGUCACUACUCCCAUCAUUCAGAGAAGGCAAUGAUGGGCCCUGAAUUGCAGAGAAAGAACACAGUUUGUUUGGGUGGGUGUAUUUAGUUGUAAAAUGGUGCGAAAAUAAUGUAUAAAAUUAAGCGUGGUUAACUGCACAUCUUAUUCGUUGGCCUGGUGGUUCAUUGUUUUUACUUUUGUGAUCUAGAAGACCUAGAUAUAUAGGUGUUAUCGAUUCUCACCACCUCCUGACUAGGGGUGAGCAUGGGGCGGUAUGGAUCGGUUUUUACCUUAUCUGCAUCUAAUCCAAUUCACUACGGAUUUCAAAUUUGGCAUCUGUAUCCAAUCCAAUGGAUGCGCGGAUGAACGGAUUUGAUGCGGAUUAUCCAAUGGAUUUGUGGUAGUUAAAAUUUAUAAUAAAAAAAAUGAAACUAA